GCACAACGCGAAGAACCUUACCUACUCUUGACAUCUACGGAAGACUGCAGAGAUGCGGUUGUGCCUUCGGGGAGCCGUAAGACAGGUGCUGCAUGGCUGUCGUCAGCUCGUGUUGUGAAAUGUUGGGUUAAGUCCCGCAACGAGCGCAACCCUUGCCAUUAGUUGCUACGAAAGGGCACUCUAAUGGGACUGCCGGUGACAAACCGGAGGAAGGUGGGGAUGACGUCAAGUCCUCAUGGCCCUUACGAGUAGGGCUACACACGUGCUACAAUGGUACGUACAGAGGGAGGCAAGCUGGCGACAGUGAGCGGAUCUCUUAAAGCGUAUCGUAGUCCGGAUCGCAGUCUGCAACUCGACUGCGUGAAGUCGGAAUCGCUAGUAAUCGCGAAUCAGAAUGUCGCGGUGAAUACGUUCCCGGGUCUUGUACACACCG
rnacentral:rRNA from 1 species